rnacentral:rRNA from 1 species
GACGCUGAGGAGCGAAAGCGUGGGGAGCGAACAGGAUUAGAUACCCUGGUAGUCCACGCCGUAAACGGUGGAUGCUGGAUGUGGGGCCCGUUCCACGGGUUCCGUGUCGGAGCUAACGCGUUAAGCAUCCCGCCUGGGGAGUACGGCCGCAAGGCUAAAACUCAAAGAAAUUGACGGGGGCCCGCACAAGCGGCGGAGCAUGCGGAUUAAUUCGAUGCAACGCGAAGAACCUUACCUGGGCUUGACAUGUUCCCGACGACCCCAGAGAUGGGGUUUCCCUUCGGGGCGGGUUCACAGGUGGUGCAUGGUCGUCGUCAGCUCGUGUCGUGAGAUGUUGGGUUAAGUCCCGCAACGAGCGCAACCCUCGCCCCGUGUUGCCAGCGGAUUGUGCCGGGAACUCACGGGGGACCGCCGGGGUUAACUCGGAGGAAGGUGGGGAUGACGUCAGAUCAUCAUGCCCCUUACGUCCAGGGCUUCACGCAUGCUACAAUGGCCGGUACAACGGGAUGCGACAGCGCGAGCUGGAGCGGAUCCCUGAAAACCGGUCUCAGUUCGGAUCGCAGUCUGCAACUAGACUGCGUGAAGGCGGAGUCGCUAGUAAUCGCGAAUCAGCAACGUCGCGGUGAAUGCGUUCCCGGGCCUUGUACACACCGCCCGUCAAGUCAUGAAAGUGGGCAGCACCCGAAGCCGGUGGCCUAACC